AACUAACCAACCACUCCGGCCAGAUUCCCCCCCUCUCUCUCUCUCUCUCUCUCUCAACGAGCUAGAGUGUUAAAUUCCUACUUUGCUUUGAUAUUCUGAACGUGUUGAAUUCAUACUUUGCUUUGAUCUGACUGCCAAACAAGAGAGAGAAGUCAUACUUUGCUUUGAUCGGAGUGUGUUAAAUUCAUGCUUAAUUUGCGUUGAUCUGAGCGCCAAACAAGAGAGGGAGAGAGAGAGAGAGACAGAUGGGAAGUUUAGGCGAGCAAUUUGACGUGAUAGUGGUCGGAGCCGGAGUGAUGGGCAGCUCCGCCGCAUACCAAUUGGCCAAAAGGGGCAAGAAAGUCCUGCUCCUGGAGCAAUUCGAUUUCCUGCACCACUGCGGCUCUUCCCACGGUGAGUCCAGGACCCUCCGGGCAACCUACCCGGAAGCCUUCUACCCGGCCAUGGUUAUGGAGUCCGUCAAACUCUGGCAAGAAGCCGAGUCCGAAAUAGGCUACAAAGUCUACUUCAAGACCAAGCAGCUGGACAUGGGCCCUACCGACGACGCCUCCCUCCUCGCCGUCGUCGCCAGCUGCCAACUUAAUUCGAUUCCCCAUCGCGUCCUCAACCCCCGCCAGCUGCUAGACGAAUUUUCCGACCGGUUCCAACUGCCGGAAAGCUGGGUGGCGGUGGUGACUGAGGUGGGCGGCGUGAUCAAGCCCACGAAGGCAGUCUCAAUGUAUCAAACACUUGCCCUCAGGUACGGCGCCGUUUUGAAGGACAACAUGGAAGUGACUGGUAUAGAGAAAGACGGCGUCAAUGGCGGCGGCGGCGGCCUCGUGGUGAGUACAGUGAACGGAGAAACUUUUUGGGGCCACAAAUGCGUGGUGACGGCCGGCGCUUGGACGAAGAAGCUGGUGCAGAGAGUUCGCGGGAUGGCGCUGCCCAUCGAGGCGGUGGAAACCAACGUGUUGUACUGGCGGAUCAAGGAGGAGCACGAGGCGGCGUUCACCAUCGCCGGCGGCUUCCCGACGUUCGCCAGCUACGGCCGGCCUUACAUCUACGGGACGCCGGCGUUGGAAUACCCGGGACUGAUCAAAAUUCCGCUGCACGGAGGGGUGGCCUGCGAUCCGGGGAGGAGGGCGUGGAGGGAGCCGGCGCCGGCGACCUUGGAGUCGGUGAGGGAAUGGAUUCGGGGGACAUUCGGGGAGCGAGUGGACGCGGCGGGGCCGGCGAUGACUCAGUCGUGCCUGUAUUCGAUGACCCCAGAUGAGGAUUUCGUGAUAGAUUUCUUGGGGGGGGAGCUGGGGGAGGACGUGGUGGUCGCCGGCGGGUUUUCAGGGCACGGGUUCAAGAUGGCGCCGGCGGUGGGGAGGAUAGUUGCUGACAUGGUGAUGACGGGGGAGGCCCAGGGCGUGGAAUUACAGCAGUUUGAGUUGGGAAGGUUUGGAAGGAACCCCAAGGGAAAUGUCAAGAGCUUUCAAGAGCAAGUGGGAAUCGUCACUCAUCACUGAAGCCGCCAAAUCUUGGCAGUGGCUGACCGCUCACCAUUUCUUUUUUUAUUUUUUAUUGCACGUGAUCUGCGUGUGCCAGCUCACCUUCACAAAAUGACAAAUGGGCCAUCACGAAUAAUGCUAUUCGGCCCAUAAUAUGAAUUUACAAAAAUAACCUUAGGACCCCCCGCGCGCGCACCCACCCACUCGAGAUCUCAAUCUCUCCCUCACACACACACCCCAGGACACACAAACACACACACACACCCCCACCCGAGGUCUCAAUCUCUCUCUCACACACACACCCCAAAUGUCUCAAUCUCUCACACUCACACACACCAAAGGUCUCUCUCUCUCUCUCACAGACACACACCCCCACCCGAGGUCUUAAUCUCUCACACACAUACACCCCAAAGGUCUCAAUCUCUCUCUCACACACACUCCAGAGGUCUCAAUUUCUUACUCUGUCUCUCUCACACACACAUCAACACUCACUAGAGGUCUCAAUCUCUCAUUCUCUUUCUCUCUAUUUGUUUCCUCUCAUUUUGGUUGUCGUUGUCUCUCUCUUCUGACAACCUUUGGGUUGGUUUAGCACAAGCAUUACCUACCUCUGUCUCUCUGUAUCUUAGCGAGGAAGCUGCGAUUAUCCAUCUUUUGGGCUCACUCUAGCUUUCUUUCUGUCUUUCUCGUCCGUCGAACGUCUCCACUGGUUCCGAUCUACAAGGAGGAUCUGAUCGUGUAAAUUUUCGGCCGACGAUGGUCACUAGCAGCGUUGGUGGUGACGAUUAUGACUUCCGUACAUAUAUACAUACAUAUUAUUUGUAUUUUAUAAUUAUUUUAGUUUAUAUUAUGAAUGUUAAUAUUUAAUUAUGAAUUUGUAUUGAAGUUAUUGAAGUUGAAUAUUAAAUUUGUGAUCUUUGAAUAUUUGGAAGGUUAAAAUUGAAUUGAGUUGGUUGAAAUUUAAAUAUUCAUAAAUUGAAUUGGUUUGUAUUUGUUUUGUGAA